rnacentral:rRNA from 1 species
CCCGCUGAACUUAAGCAUAUCAAUAAGCGGAGGGAAAGAAACUAACAAGGAUUCCCCUAGUAACUGCGAGUGAAGGGGGGAAAGCUCAAAUUUAAAAUCUGGGGGUCUUUGGCCCAUCGGAGUUGUAAUUUAGAGAAGCGUCUUCCGCGCUGGACCGCACACAAGUCUCCUGGAACGGAGCGUCAUAGAGGGUGAGAAGCCCGUCUUUGGUACGGACCCCCAGGGCUUCUGUGAUGCGCUCUCGAAGAGUCGAGUUGUGUGAGAAUGCCGCUCAAAACGGGUGGUGAACUCCAUCUAAAGCUAAAUAUUGGCGAGAGACUGAUAGCGAACAAGUACCGUGAGGGAAAGAUGAAAAUCACUUUGGAAAGAGAGUGAAACAGUACAGUGAAAUUGUUGAAAGGGAAACGCUUAAAGUCAGUCGCGUCGACCGAGACUCAGCCUCCCUCCGGCUUGGUGUAUUUCUCGGCCCGACGGGUCAGCCUCAAUUUUGCCCCUCGCAUAACGGCAAGGGAAAGCUGGCACCUUUGCGGGUGUGUUAUAGUCUUUUGUCGCAUGCGACGGGUGGGAUUGAGGAACUCAUCACGCGCGCCCUUCUCGAUGUGUCGGGGCCUCAGCCCCCGCCACUUGCCUUAGGAGGCUGGCGUAAUGGCUUUAAACGACCCGUCUUGCAACACGG